GAAUCUUCCGCAAUGGGCGAAAGCCUGACGGAGCAACGCCGCGUGAGUGAUGAAGGUUUUCGGAUCGUAAAGCUCUGUUGCCAAAGAAGAAGGGUGUGGAGAGUAACUGCUCUGCAUUUGACGGUAUUUGAGAAGAAAGCCCCGGCUAACUACGUGCCAGCAGCCGCGGUAAUACGUAGGGGGCAAGCGUUGUCCGGAAUUAUUGGGCGUAAAGCGCGCGCAGGCGGCCGUUUAAGUCUGGUGUUUAAGCCCGAGGCUCAACCUCGGUUCGCACGGGAAACUGGAUGGCUUGAGUGCAGGAGAGAGAAGUGGAAUUCCACGUGUAGCGGUGAAAUGCGUAGAGAUGUGGAGGAACACCAGUGGCGAAGGCGACUUCUUGGCCUGUAACUGACGCUGAGGCGCGAAAGCGUGGGGAGCAAACAG
rnacentral:rRNA from 1 species